rnacentral:rRNA from 1 species
AAUAUUGGACAAUGGGCGAAAGCCUGAUCCAGCCAGGCCGCGUGUGUGAAUAAGGCCUUCGGAUUGUAAAGCACUUUAAGUUGGGAGGAAGGGUGGUAGAUUAAUACUCUGCACUUUUGACGUUACCAACAGAAUAAGCACCGGCUAACUUCGUGCCAGCAGCCGCGGUAAUACGAAGGGUGCAAGCGUUAAGCGGAAUUACGGGGCGUAAGGCGCGCGUAGGUGGUUUGCCAAGUUGGAGAUGAAAGCCCCGGGCUCAACCUGGGAACUGCUUUCAAAACUGCUGAGCUAGAGUACGGUAGAGGGUAGUGGAAUUUCCUGUGUAGCGGUGAAAUGCGUAGAUAUAGGAAGGAACACCAGUGGCGAAGGCGACUACCUGGACUGAUACUGACACUGAGGUGCGAAAGCGUGGGGAGCAAAC